GACGAACCGUGCGAACGUUGUUCGGAUUUACUGGGCGUAAAGCGCACGUAGGCGGAUCGUUAAGUCGGGGGUGAAAUCCUGGAGCUCAACUCCAGAACUGCCUUCGAUACUGGCGAUCUUGAGUCCGGAAGAGGUGAGUGGAACUCCUAGUGUAGAGGUGGAAUUCGUAGAUAUUAGGAAGAACACCAGUGGCGAAGGCGGCUCACUGGCCGGUACUGACGCUGAGGUGCGGAAAGCGAUGGG
rnacentral:rRNA from 1 species